AACGCUGGCGGCGUGCUUAACACAUGCAAGUCGAACGAUGAACCACUUCGGUGGGGAUUAGUGGCGAACGGGUGAGUAACACGUGGGCAAUCUGCCCUGCACUCUGGGACAAGCCCUGGAAACGGGGUCUAAUACCGGAUACUGAACCUCGCAGGCAUCUGUGAGGGUCGAAAGCUCCGGCGGUGCAGGAUGAGCCCGCGGCCUAUCAGCUUGUUGGUGAGGUAAUGGCUCACCAAGGCGACGACGGGUAGCCGGCCUGAGAGGGCGACCGGCCACACUGGGACUGAGACACGGCCCAGACUCCUACGGGAGGCAGCAGUGGGGAAUAUUGCACAAUGGGCGAAAGCCUGAUGCAGCGACGCCGCGUGAGGGAUGACGGCCUUCGGGUUGUAAACCUCUUUCAGCAGGGAAGAAGCGAAAGUGACGGUACCUGCAGAAGAAGCGCCGGCUAACUACGUGCCAGCAGCCGCGGUAAUACGUAGGGCGCAAGCGUUGUCCGGAAUUAUUGGGCGUAAAGAGCUCGUANGCGGCUUGUCACGUCGGUUGUGAAAGCCCGGGCUUAACCCCGGGUCUGCAGUCGAUACGGGCAGGCUAGAGUUCGUAGGGAGAUCGAAUCCUGUGUAG
rnacentral:rRNA from 1 species